AGCGAACGCUGGCGGCAUGCCUAACACAUGCAAGUCGCACGGGGGGGCUUCGGCCUCCCAGUGGCGGGCGGGUGAGGAACGCGUAGGGACCUGUCGAGGGGUGGGGGAUAACCGCGGGAAACUGCGGCUAAUACCGCAUGACGCCGCGGCGUGACAGCCGGGGCCAAAGGCGAAAGCCGCCCGCCGAGGGGCCUGCGUCCGAUUAGCUGGUUGGCGGGGUAGCGGCCCACCAAGGCGUCGAUCGGUAGCUGGUCUGAGAGGGUGAUCAGCCACACCGGGACUGAGACACGGCCCGGACUCCUACGGGAGGCAGCAGUGGGGAAUAUUGGACAAUGGGCGCAAGCCUGAUCCAGCAAUGCCGCGUGGGUGAAGAAGGUCUUCGGAUUGUAAAGCCCUUUCGGCGGGGACGAUGGUGACGGUACCCGCAGAAGAAGCCCCGGCUAACUUCGUG
rnacentral:rRNA from 1 species